UUUUUUUAAAAUGUUUUGCGAGUUCAAACAAUUGCAGUACAAGCAGAAGUACAGGUUCAGAAUGGGUUUUGCCAAACUGAAGAAGAAUAUUGCAGGCAAUGUGUUCAAUACAAAGAAAACUCGAGGCAAUUGUAGAGAAUGAUAGAAAGCAAGAAUGCUAUUAUCCAACAACUUACUGA